GUGCUCAUUUUGGCAGUACAUAUACUAAAACUAGAAUGAUACGGAGAAGAUUAGCAUGGCCCCUGAAUGAGGAUGACAUGUAAAUUCAUAAAGUGUUCCAAAUUAAA